UUUGUUUCCAAUAUUUGAUUUACUAAAAUCUGCUACAAUUUUAAAGAGAAACAAGAAGAAAAAGAUUUUGGUUUAUUUAUUGCAAUUAUUGAAAUCUACUUCAAUUUUAAAGAGAAACAAGAAGGAAAAGAUGUCCAGGAGUUUUAUCAGUUGUGAGAUCCCGAUGGGUCAUUUUUAAUUUCUUAUACUUCAUCUCCUCCGGAUUUUUUUUUUUUUGAAAUAUAUUUUGUUUUGUGCGACUCCGGCUCCCAAGUCGACUUCAUGUUCAUCCCACCGGAAAUAUCGACUCUGGUCAGACCCAGUACAUGGCUGCCACCCUCUCCAUCCAGCCCUUCUUCGGUGGGUUAAGGAUGGAGCUAUGGGGCUUCUUCACUCUGCCAGUGGCCAGAGUGGACUUUCGGACAGUCUUUGUGCCCAAAUGCUUCGUCAGCACCUUGCCUCCGGUGGACUUGCAAGUGGUUUGCUUGGUGAGGGGCACUGAAAGAAUGGCCGGAUCUGAAAAAAUAGUCGGAUUUGAGCUAGUAGGAGAGAUGAGGA